rnacentral:sRNA from 1 species
AAACUCGAAAUAUACUUUUUAAGGUCUAUGUACACAUUCGUUUUUAAAAAGGUUCAUGAUGGGUAAAACUAUAAAGGGUAAUAUUAGAAACUAACUAUGAAAUGGAAAAGAAUUGAGAGAAUGACAUUGUGUCAGAAAAGUUAGGUAAAUAACAUUUUCUGAAAAAGAGAAAAUACAAAAAUAUCCUUGUGUUUACUUAUUUUUACAAUAAUGCCAUUGGCUUUAGUUAUAAAGUUUAUAUGUAUUUGUCUAAAAUAGCAUGA